UGAACAUCGUGCAUCUCUCCACAGCUCAUAUGCUGGGAGCUGGGUUCUCUGUGUGAUGGCAUCUGGAAGUGGGACAUUUAAGGGGCAGAACCUAGCGUGAUGUAGGAUCCUACCUGUGGAAUUAUCCCACCCACAUUCAAGGAGUGUUUUUACCCUGUGGUUAGUCUCCCAGGAAACACCUUCAGAAACAUACCCAGAAUUAUGCUCUACUAACUUCCCAGGCUCCUCUUAACCCGGGGUUCAGCACGUCCCUCUUGUGCGCCAACCACACACAUCAUGACAGACUGAAGGCAGAAGCGGGGAGAACUCAACUGUCUUCUAAUCCAGGCAUUAAAGAGAUUCACAAGUCUGUCAGGCCAUGCUGCUCCCCAUGCUCCGUGCUUUUGGAAAAUAGAGUUAGUUUUUUUUUUAAUUAAAAAUGUGUUAGUUAUAUAAGCUCGCAGUGGGCUUACUACUGUUAUCUUUUACAUUAUAUAAUGGACGGAUGUUUUUUAAAAUGUCUCAGCUGAAAAUGAUAAUAUAGUGAAUAUGGAAAAAUGUAACCCACACAGACAAAACUCUUUGGGGUUCCCAAAUUUUAGAAGUGCAGACAGAGCUCGGAGAGCAAAAUGUCUGAGAACUUUGGGGUCUAGGUAGGGAAGACUUCUGGACCAAGCUAACAAAUU